UACGCCCUACGGGGGAAAGCAGGGGAUCUUCGGACCUUGCGCUAAUAGAUGAGCCUAAGUCAGAUUAGCUAGUUGGUGGGGUAAAGGCCUACCAAGGCGACGAUCUGUAGCGGGUCUGAGAGGAUGAUCCGCCACACUGGGACUGAGACACGGCCCAGACUCCUACGGGAGGCAGCAGUGGGGAAUAUUGGACAAUGGGCGAAAGCCUGAUCCAGCCAUGCCGCGUGUGUGAAGAAGGCCUUUUGGUUGUAAAGCACUUUAAGCGAGGAGGAGGCUACUUAGAUUAAUACUCUAGGAUAGUGGACGUUACUCGCAGAAUAAGCACCGGCUAACUCUGUGCCAGCAGCCGCGGUAAUACAGAGGGUGCGAGCGUUAAUCGGAUUUACUGGGCGUAAAGCGUGCGUAGGCGGCUUCUUAAGUCGGAUGUGAAAUCCCUGAGCUUAACUUAGGAAUUGCAUUCGAUACUGGGAAGCUAGAGUAUGGGAGAGGAUGGUAGAAUUCCAGGUGUAGCGGUGAAAUGCGUAGAGAUCUGGAGGAAUACCGAUGGCGAAGGCAGCCAUCUGGCCUAAUACUGACGCUGAGGUACGAAAGCAUGGGGAGCACACAGGAUUAGAUACCCUGGUAGUCCAUGCCGUAAACGAUGUCUACUAGCCGUUGGGGCCUUUGAGGCUUUAGUGGCGCAGCUAACGCGAUAAGUAGACCGCCCUGGGGGAGUACGG
rnacentral:rRNA from 1 species